GUUUUUUGGACCGGAUGAUAAAGUGCAUAAUUUUGAGAAUUAUGAAAAAACUCUAAAUUCUAAUAUUAAAAAGAUGUUUCUUUGAUCCUUGAUGUCUGUAAUGGUUUAACAUGUAACAAAGAUGGUUGUAACGAAUACAAGCAUUUAUGUUCCACUUCGGAUUAAUUCAAUCGACAGCCAGGCUCUAAAGGUUUACCACGAAAAAUGAGAAAAAACAAAAGUGGUUAUCACGAAUACAAGUAUUUAUGUUCCACUUCGGAUUAACUCAAUCGACAGCCAGGCUCUAAAGGUUUACCACGAAAAAUGAGAAAAAACAAAAGUGGUUAUCACGUAUACAAGGUACUUUAUUUAUGUUCCACUUCGGAUUAACUCAAUCGACAGCCAGGCUCUAAAGGUUUACCACGAAAAAUGAGAAAAAACAAAAGUGGUUAUCACGAAUACAAGUAUUUAUGUUCCACUCCGAAUCAACUCAACCGAUAGUCAGUAAUUCGACAACUUCAAGUUCUCCAAGAUUCUCGAAGUUUAAUCGUCUUAAAUUUGGUGCAAAUUUUUAAAUUUGUUGUUAAAGCUAUAAUUUCGUUAUUCAGAAAUAGUAUUUAGUAGUCCUUAUCCUCUAAGAUAUAAUUAGUCUAUUGUGUUUGUAUAUCUUGUGGUAACUGAUAUCUAUUGAAAAGAAACCCGAAUUUAUUCGAACAAAUUUUUACCCGCACAUUAUAACUUUAUAUUUAAUUAUGAUUAUGUUUUUUUGAUAUUCGCUAUUCCGCUUGUAAGAUUCGAAAAAAGUUUUCUGCAAAAAAUCUAAGCACAGUUGUUUUCUGUCCUAAGAUCUUACCUGGUCGGCAGAGACAGCCAGUCUUUUAUGUUUUAUUGAAAGGGCGCAUGAGUCUUAACACUUUUACAAAAACCGUCAUAAUUUCACAGAUAAGGUUUAUGAAGGUUGCAUAAUCUUAGAAGGUAAGGUUUACUAAUUACUACACUAUUUUUGUUUUGAAAGAAGGCGUUGUGUAAAACAUUCUGUAUUUAUGUUUAAAUUUGAAAGGAAAUGUGCAAUAUAAGUUUGUUACUUGA